CCUCGCGGCCCAAUAAUUCCACCGCCGCACGCCUCUCUCCCUUCCUCCCCUCCUUCCUUCCUCCCCGCCUCCCGCUCGUUGCCUUCGCCGCCGCCUCACGCCGCCGUGAUUUGAGUUAGGUUUUUUUUUUUUUUUGCUCUGACCAGACUUGCCGGCGAAGGAACCACCGGCGGGCACCGCCUCUCCUCGGCAAUCGUUGCCGGGGAUAAAGUGGGGUCGUUAAGGGAGCGGUAGGUUUGGGGGUUUGGGAUUAUAGAUCGAGGAAGAUGAAGCAAUCCAUAUCGUCUAUCAUCUUUGUAUCUACUCACGCUGCUGCUGCUAACUAUAGGAUCAUUUCGCUUCUGCCUCUUUCUGACCCGACUCUUUUUGGUUUUUGCCUCGUCGAUAAUGAACUUGAGUACACUCAGAAGCUUGCCUAUUAGCUUAGUGUAAAUAGUAGGCUUGUUGGAGUUUAGUUUGUUAGAAAUUAUUAGUCUCUGGUUCAUUUCAGCUAGCAACCAUGGCUGCGAUGAACGAAAAGGUAUUGGAUAAAUGUGGAAGAAACAUAAGUAGCCUCAAGAGAAAGCGGGACAACCCAGCUGCACGUUGCGCUGAUGCCGGCAACACCUCUAAAUUGCAUAAGCAUCCCGCCGAUAACUCUGUUGUUAGGUUUUAUGUUGAUGAAGGUCACAAGGCAAAGAUCAAGUGCCAUUUCAAAAUGCAGAUUAUACAGAGUUAUCAGAAUUUCAUGACUAGUGCUUUACCUAAGCGAAUUCUGCUUCGUCAAGGUGGUGAAUGGAAAGACUUUCCAAAGCAAAUUGUCAAGCUUGCCCACAGUGAUUUUAGGACUAAGAAGACAAUCACAGAAGGUGAACACCAGACCCAUCUUUUUUUGCUGGAUUUUGUGCACAUGACAUUCAUAGACUCAAAGACAGGCCUUCAGAGGCCAAUAGCUUGGAUUGAUGAGAAUGGGAAGCAGUACUUCCCAGAAUUUUUUAUUGAAGAUAAGACACUGUAUAGGAAAAAGGAAUUGGGAAAUGGUAAUAAUGUAUACAUAAUUGUCGAGCCCAAUGGGACACAAGAAAUGAACGACCACUUUGGAACAUCAGAAAGUUCAGCAGAAAGCUCGAAUUUUGAAUCUAGCACUGAUGAUGUUUCCAGCCCUAAGAGAGCCAAGGCUGAGAGGAGUGUCGCAGGAAACAAAACUGGUGGUGUCAAAGAAACUAUUGGAGAGAAUGAGCCACACGCCUUGCUGCCUAUUCCCUGCAGAUCUCUACCACAAGAUAAGCUGGGUGACCAUUCACGUGUUCAACUAGCUAUUUCUGCUGUUCAGAAAUUGUUGCUGCAGGGUCUGGGCACUGUUCUUGGUUCCAAGGACAUCGUUGGGAUCUACAGAACACCAGCAGUAGAUAACCAUAAAGAAUUUCGUUAUAAUCUUUUCAAAAAGCAGGCAGAGCAUACUAAAUGUAAGCGUGGCAAUGCAAAUGUCCGCUAUGCCUGGCUUGCUUGCUCAAAAGAUGCUGUGGAUGAAAUGAUGUUGAAUGGUGUCAUGCACUUUGAGAAGACUGUUAAGUGCCCAGACUACGGAAUUGGCACAAUCCUUGCUCCAGCAAAUUGCUCCAAUACCUGUGUGAAUUACUCUGAUGUUGAUGAAAAUGGCAUUGUCCAUAUGAUGUUGUGCCGUGUUGUAAUGGGGAACGUAGAAAUAGUUCACCAUGGAUCUAAGCAGCAUCGGCCUAGUAACGAGUAUUUCGAUAGUGGUGUAGAUGACAUUAAAAACCCUCAACAUUACAUUGUGUGGGAUAUGAAUGUGAAUAGUCACAUCUAUUCUGAAUUUGUAGUCACCAUCAAAUUGCCUUCUAGAGUCAAAGAUUCUCCUGCCACCGAAGAAGAUUGUCACAAUUUAUCAGAGGUUUCAUCACUGAUCUUGAGCUCUGGUUCGCCUGAUAGUGUAUCACAGACAAGUUCCACUGUUGGAGCAGCAGCAGCAUGCAGUAAUUCAGACAGUGACUGAAUCAACUAUUGACUUGUGCUUGCUUUUGAGAUUAGACUUCAAGCUGACUGUAGUAUUUUAUCUUUGAUAGAAACCUCCAAAUAUGAUAAGUUUCCUGUUAACCAUGCUAUCUAUAUUGGGGUGGGUUUAAGAAUCAAAUAACAAACAUCCUCUUCUCCACAAACAGGACAUGAACCUUCAGGCUUCUCCAGCAUUGGGAGGUCAUUAUGAAGCCCCCAUGUUAGGAGAUAAAGUGGAAAGGGCUCCAAGCACGCCUUGGAUGCCUUUCUCCAUGUUAUUUGCAGCGAUUUCAACCAAAGUUUCUGCUGAGAAUAUGGACAUGGUCAACAGUUGUUACGAAGAAUUCAAGAGCAAGAAAAUAAGCCGAGUCGACCUAGUGAAGAAGUUAAGGCAUAUAGUUGGUGACAGAAUGCUUAUAUCAACAAUAAUGCGACUCCAAGAUAAGUUGCCCCCUAUGUCGAGGCAUGAAGCACCCAAACACGUGGGCCAAGAUGAUGGCUAAACCAUGAAGUCGUCGGUGCGGAUGGUGAGAGAAGCAACUGGCCGACUUGACUAGUGGAGAGAAGCUUAUCUCACAUAAGUUGUCUGCGUCUGUAUAUGAUGCGGGUUUGUCUUUUCGGUCCUAGGAUUCAUGUUGUCAAGAUUUCUGUCAUCGGUUUCCGAUGCGAAAUGAUGAUUUCAGCUUUACUCGUGGACCUGAGGUUACACAUAAAAUUGAUAAAAGUUCCUUGUUUACCCUCCUGUUUCUUUUUCUUCUCUUUGCAUAAAAACAUGUAAUGUUAUAUACAUAUUGAUUAAUGUUAUUGUUUCGCCAUAGUCGUGGUGUUGUGCUUUAA